rnacentral:lncRNA from 1 species
AAAUAAAUAGGUUAAUUAGUUUUUAUUUUAAUUUUAACUAUUUUAACUAUUUAACUUUAUUCAGUUUUUAAUUUUAUAUUGGGUUUCAAAAUAAACUUAGGCCCAUUAUCAUUAACCUAAUUUGUUCCUAUAUAUAUUUACUAGCAUGACUGAUAGAGGGAGACAAAAAGACAGAACAAAAAAGAGAAACUGAGAGUGGCUGAUCUAUACUAUCGUACACACAAUUUGGUAAUAGUUU